rnacentral:misc_RNA from 1 species
UGAGGAUAGAACUCAGGGAGAGUACUCUGUCAAUGAUGGAAAAGGGGAUUCACAUUUGGAAGGGGUAUGGCAGAUGCUUUACAGUGAUUGCCUUUCUGCUCUCGAAAUCUGUGUGGAAGGAGACCUGAAACAUUUUCAUAAGGCUAGAUAUAUGCUUGCUCAAGGCCUAUAUCGAAGAGGUGGGAAUAUGGAUAUACAGAAGGCAAAGGAUGAACUUUCCUUCUGCUUUAAGUCGUCUCGUUCUUCAUUCACAAUUAACAUGUGGGAGAUUGACAGUACGGUUAAGAAGGGAAGGCGCAGAACCCAAGGUUGCUCAGGGAACAAGAG